AGAGUUUGAUCUUGGCUCAGAACGAACGCUGGCGGCGUGGCUAAGACAUGCAAGUCGUACGGACCGCGGUAGCAAUAUUGCGGUUAGUGGCGAAAGGGUGAGUAAUGCAUGGGUAACGUACCCUGAACUCGGGGAUAACAGCGGGAGCAAUCCCUUUAGCGAAAGUGCUGCUAAUACCCGAUGAAGUCGCCGGGUCGCAUGACCGGGCGACCAAAGGUGGGGACCGCAAGGCCUGCCGGUUUGGGAGCGGCCCAUGUCCUAUCAGCUAGUUGGUGAGGUAACGGCUUACCAAGGCUAUGACGGGUAGCCGGACUGAGAGGUCGAUCGGCCGCAUCGGGACUGAGACACUGCCCGGACACCUACGGGUGGCUGCAGUAACGAAUAUUGGGCAAUGGGCGCAAGCCUGACCCAGCGACGCCGCGUACAGGAGGAAGUCCUUCGGGAUGUAAACUGCUGUCAGGGGCUAGCAAGCAAAGGGUGUUAACAGCAUCCGGCGUUGAGCCGCCCCAGAGGAAGCCUCGACUAACUCUGUGCCAGCAGUCGCGGUAAGACAGAGGAGGCAAGCGUUGUUCGGAAUCACUGGGCUUAAAGCGCGUGUAGGCGGCGGCGCAAGUGUCGUGUGAAAUCCCACGGCUCAACCGUGGAACUGCACGGCAAACUACGUCGCUUGAGGUUGGUAGAGGUGCCUGGAACUCUCGGUGGAGCGGUGAAAUGCGUUGAUAUCGAGAGGAACGCCGGAAGCGAAAGCGAGGCACUGGGCCGAUUCUGACGCUGAGACGCGAAAGCGUGGGGAGCAAACAGGAUUAGAUACCCUGGUAGUCCACGCUGUAAA
rnacentral:rRNA from 1 species